GUUUAUGGCCAUACCACCCUGAAUAUACCCAAUCUCAUCUGAUCUCAGAAGCUAAGUAGGGUCAGGCCUGGUUAGUACUCGGAUAGGAGACCUGCGUGAAAUUAGAUUUUAAGCA
ensembl:rRNA 5S_rRNA 5S ribosomal RNA